GGCCAGACUCCUACGGGAGGUAGCAGGGGGGGAUAUUGCACAAUGGGGGAAACCCUGAUGCAGCGACGCCGCGUGAGGGAGGAAGGGCUGCGGAUCGGAAACCUCUGUCAGCAGGGAAGAACGGUCACUGUGCUAAUCAGCAGUGAAUUGACGGGACCUGCAAAGGAAGCACCGGCUAACGCCGUGCCAGCAGCCGCGGUAAUACGGAGGGAGCGAGCGUUAAUCGGAAUUACUGGGCGUAAAGCGCUCGUAGGCGGUAUGUCAAGUCAAGGGUGAAAUCCCCGCGCUCAACGUGGGAACUGCCUUUGAAACUGGCAAACUGGAGUGUGUGAGAGGAUAGUGGAAUUCCAGGUGUAGGAGUGAAAUCCGUAGAUAUCUGGAGGAACAGCAGUGGCGAAGGCGACUAUCUGGCACAUAACUGACGCUGAGGAGCGAAAGCGUGGGUAGCAAACAGGAUUAGAUACCCCUGUA
rnacentral:rRNA from 1 species